UACGUAGGUGGCAAGCGUUAUCCGGAUUUAUUGGGCGUAAAGAGAACGCAGGCGGUCUUUUAAGUCUGAUGUGAAAGCCUUCGGCUUAACCGGAGUAGUGCAUUGGAAACUGGGAGACUUGAGUGCAGAAGAGGAGAGUGGAACUCCAUGUGUAGCGGUGAAAUGCGUAGAUAUAUGGAAGAACACCAGUGGCGAAAGUGGCUCUCUGGUCUGUAACUGACGCUGAGGUUCGAAAGCGUGGGUAGCAAACAGG
rnacentral:rRNA from 1 species